GCCCGGGUGGUGAAACUGGUAGACACAAGGGACUUAAAAUCCCUCGGCUUAGGCUGUACGGGUUCGAUUCCCGUCCCGGGUACCA
rnacentral:tRNA from 1 species